rnacentral:rRNA from 1 species
GACGAACGCUGGCGGCGUGCUUAACACAUGCAAGUCGAACGGUGAAAGCGGAGCUUGCUCCGCUGGAUCAGUGGCGAACGGGUGAGUAACACGUGGGCAACCUGCCCCUGACUUCGGGAUAACUCCUCGAAAGAGGUGCUAAUACCGGAUACGAAUCCUGCAGGCAUCUGCGGGAUUGGAAAGUUUUUCGGUCAGGGAUGGGCCCGCGGCCUAUCAGCUUGUUGGUGAGGUAGUGGCUCACCAAGGCGACGACGGGUAGCCGGCCUGAGAGGGCGACCGGCAACACUGGGACCGGGACACGGCCCAGACGCCUACGGGAGGCAGCAGUGGGGAAUAUUGCGCAAUGGGCGAAAGCCUGAAGCAGCAACGCCGGGUGAGGGAUGACGGCCUUCGGGUUGUAAACCUCUUUCAGCAGGGAAGAAGCGAAAGUGACGGUACCUGCAGAAGAAGCACCGGCUAACUACAUGCCAGCCGCCGCCGUAA